rnacentral:rRNA from 1 species
GUGGGGAAUUUUGGACAAUGGGCGCAAGCCUGAUCCAGCCAUUCCGCGUGCAGGAUGAAGGCCUUCGGGUUGUAAACUGCUUUUGUACGGAACGAAAAGCCUCUGGUUAAUACCCGGGGGUCAUGACGGUACCGUAAGAAUAAGCACCGGCUAACUACGUGCCAGCAGCCGCGGUAAUACGUAGGGUGCGAGCGUUAAUCGGAAUUACUGGGCGUAAAGCGUGCGCAGGCGGUGAUGUAAGACAGUUGUGAAAUCCCCGGGCUCAACCUGGGAACUGCAUCUGUGACUGCAUUGCUGGAGUGCGGCAGAGGGGGAUGGAAUUCCGCGUGUAGCAGUGAAAUGCGUAGAUAUGCGGAGGAACACCGAUGGCGAAGGCAAUCCCCUGGGCCUGCACUGACGCUGAGGAGCGAAAGCAUGGGGAGCGAACAGGAUUAGAUACCCGUGUAGUCC